rnacentral:rRNA from 1 species
UAGGGAAUCUUCCGCAAUGGACGAAAGUCUGACGGAGCAACGCCGCGUGAGUGAUGAAGGUUUUCGGAUCGUAAAACUCUGUUGUUAGGGAAGAACAAGUUGGGUAGUAACUGACCCAACCUUGACGGUACCUAACCAGAAAGCCACGGCUAACUACGUGCCAGCAGCCGCGGUAAUACGUAGGUGGCAAGCGUUGUCCGGAAUUAUUGGGCGUAAAGCGCUCGCAGGCGGUCUUUUAAGUCUGAUGUGAAAGCCCACGGCUUAACCGUGGAGGGUAAUUGGAAACUGGAGGACUUGAGUACAGAAGAGGAGAGUGGAAUUCAACGGGUAGCGGUGAAAUGCGUAGAGAUGUGGAGGAAAACCAGUGGCGAAGGCGACUCUCUGGUCUGUAACUGACGCUGAGGAGCGAAAGCGUGGGUAGCGAACAGG